CAUAACCCGAAGGUCAAUGGUUCAAAUCCAUUCCCCGCUAUAAAGAUAGUAUUGAUUAUAUCAUUUAGU
rnacentral:tRNA from 1 species